AUUGAACGCUGGCGGCAGGCCUAACACAUGCAAGUCGAACGGAGUGGCGGACGGGUGAGUAAUGUCUGGGAAACUGCCUGAUGGAGGGGGAUAACUACUGGAAACGGGCGCUAAUACCGCAUACUAUCAGAUGAGCCUAGGUCGGAUUAGCUAGUUGGUGGGGUAAAGGCCUACCAAGGCGACGAUCCGUAACUGGUCUGAGAGGAGGAGCAGACACACUGGAACGGAGACACGGUCAAGAAGCCGACGGGAGGCAGCAGUGGGGAAUAUUGGACAAUGGGCGAAAGCCUGAUGCAGCCAUGCCGCGUGUGUGAAGAAGGUCUUCGGAUUGUAAAGCACGUUAAGUUGGGAGGCGUUACCCGCAGAAUAAGCACCGGCUAACUUCGUGCCAGCAGCCGCGGUAAUAC
rnacentral:rRNA from 1 species